ACGGCAAAAUACUCCACGACAUUAAUUAUUCAAUCGUGAACUUAGCAUGCAUUUAUUUAAAACAAAAGUCCACUCACAAAUUAGGCCUAAGCCUGAUGUCGAUCUGGGGUCUCGUCUGCUCGAGCCUCCUCACGUCCUGAUCCAAAUAAAAUAUUAAUUUCCCAACCAAUAAUCCAAUAUUUAAUCAAAAUAGGCAAAAUUACCCGAGAGCCAUAAUUACUCUCAUUAUUGCCUAACUUCGAUAUUCUUACAUCGGAACGAUCCGAACUUAAAUAUCAUACUCCACAGUCGUAAAUAUAACCUCCCCAAAAUACGACUUAAAUCCUACGGCCGGAUUCUACAUUAAUUAUCCGCCAAAAAUACCAAACUUCGGAAAUUCACAAACCUAUCCAAAUCUCAUCCAAAAAUUCCAUAAAUCACACCAAUAAAAUCACCUUAAUAUUCUACAUCAAAAACCACAAAAAUUCCCAAAACAGCGGCGGCGCCGCCGGCGGCUCCGCCGGCAGCGGCGGCCGGCGACCAACUCCGGCGACCUGCAAAUGCUACCAAAUUUUAACAGAAUCUUCCUCUCAAUCUCCUCUACAACUUUCAUGACCAACACAAACUCCAAUUCUAAGCCUAACCAUGUCGAUCGAACACAAACAACCAUAAAUCCCCAAAACUUUCAAUUAUACAAACCACCCUAACGAAAACGAAUUUAGCCGAAACCUUUUGAGGGAUUACUCACCUAGAUGAGGGCUACAAGUUGAGCCAAAAAUCACGACCUAUGGUGGCCGGAGGACGGAGCUCCGACGAAGACACAGUCGGCGGUUCCGACGGCUUUUCUCCUCUCCGGCGGGUUAGAGGCUCGGGGGCUAGGCCGGGGAGGGGAGGAGGGAGGGUGGACGGGGGUCCGAUCUGGGCUGGAGCGGCGGCAGCUGGUGGCCGGACGGCGGCGGGCUGCGGUGGUGAAGUUUCCCG
rnacentral:lncRNA from 1 species